rnacentral:rRNA from 1 species
GAUGAACGCUGGCGGCGUGCCUAAUACAUGCAAGUCGAGCGAACAGACGAGGAGCUUGCUCCUCUGACGUUAGCGGCGGACGGGUGAGUAACACGUGGAUAACCUACCUAUAAGACUGGGAUAACUUCGGGAAACCGGAUCUAAUACCGGAUAAUAUAUUGAACCGCAUGGUUCAAUAGUGAAAGACGGUUUUGCUGUCACUUAUAGAUGGAUCCGCGCCGCAUUAGCUAGUUGGUAAGGUAACGGAUUACCAAGGCAAGGAUGCGUAGCCGACCUGAGAGGGUGAUCGCCCACACUGGAAGUGAGACACGGUCCAGACUCCUACGGGAGGCAGCAGUAGGGAAUCUUCCGCAAUGGGCGAAAGCUUGACGGAGCAACGCCGCGUGAGUGAUGAAGGUCUUCGGAUCGUAAAACUCUGUUAUUAGGGAAGAACAAAUGUGUAAGUAACUAUGCACGUCUUGACGGUACCUAAUCAGAAAGCCCCGGCUAACUACGUG